rnacentral:rRNA from 1 species
AUUGAACGCUGGCGGCAGGCCUAACACAUGCAAGUCGAACGGUAACAGGAAGAAGCUUGCUUCUUUGCUGACGAGUGGCGGACGGGUGAGUAAUGUCUGGGAAACUGCCUGAUGGAGGGGGAUAACUACUGGAAACGGUAGCUAAUACCGCAUAACGUCGCAAGACCAAAGAGGGGGACCUUCGGGCCUCUUGCCAUCGGAUGUGCCCAGAUGGGAUUAGCUAGUAGGUGGGGUAACGGCUCACCUAGGCGACGAUCCGUAGCUGGUCUGAGAGGAUGACCAGCCACACUGGAACUGAGACACGGUCCAGACUCCUACGGGAGGCAGAAGUGGGGAAUAUUGCACGAUGGGCGCAAGCCUGAUGCAGCCAUGCCGCGUGUAUGAAGAAGGCCUUCGGGUUGUAAAGUACUUUCAGCGGGGAGGAAGGGAGUAAAGUUAAUACCUUUGCUCAUUGACGUUACCCGCAGAAGAAGCACCGGCUAACUCCGUG